rnacentral:rRNA from 1 species
UUCCGGUUGAUCCUGCCGGAGGCCAUUGCUAUCGGAGUCCGAUUUAGCCAUGCUAGUUGUGCGGGUUUAGACCCGCAGCGGAAAGCUCAGUAACACGUGGCCAAACUACCCUGUGGAUGGGAACAAUCUCGGGAAACUGAGGCUAAUUCCCAAUAAUGCUCGACCCCUGGAAUGGGUCGAGCUGGAAACGCUACGGCGCCACAGGAUGUGGCUGCGGCCGAUUAGGUAGACGGUGGGGUAACGGCCCACCGUGCCCGUAAUCGGUACGGGUUGUGAGAGCAAGAGCCCGGAGACGGUAUCUGAGACAAGAUACCGGGCCCUACGGGGCGCAGCAGGCGCGAAACCUUUACACUGUACGCAAGUGCGAUAAGGGGACUCCGAGUGUGAAGGCAUAGAGCCUUCACUUUUGUACACCGUAAGGUGGUGUACGAAUAAGGGCUGGGCAAGACCGGUGCCAGCCGCCGCGGUAAUACCGGCAGCCCGAGUGAUGGCCGAAAUUAUUGGGCCUAAAGCGUUCGUAGCUGGCCGGACAAGUCCGUUGGGAAAUCCGCGCGCUUAACGCGCGGGCGUCCAGCGGAAACUGUUCGGCUUGGGACCGGAAGACCUGAGGGGUACGUCCGGGGUAGGAGUGAAAUCCUGUAAUCCUGGACGGACCACCGGUGGCGAAAGCGCCUCAGGAGGACGGAUCCGACAGUGAGGAACGAAAGCUAGGGUCUCGAACCGGAUUAGAUACCCGGGUAGUCCUAGCUGUAAACGAUGCCCGCUAGGUGGUGGCGCAGGCUACGAGCCUGCGCUGUGCCGUAGGGAAGCCGAGAAGCGGGCCGCCUGGGAAGUACGUCUGCAAGGAUGAAACUUAAAGGAAUUGGCGGGGGAGCACUACAACCGGAGGAGCCUGCGGUUUAAUUGGACUCAACGCCGGG